rnacentral:rRNA from 1 species
UACGUAGGAGGCAAGCGUUGUCCGGAUUUACUGGGCGUAAAGAGCGUGUAGGCGGUAGCGCAAGUCUGCUGUGAAAUCUCCUAGCUCAACUAGGAUAGGUCAGUGGAAACUGCGCAACUUGAGGACGGUAGAGGGGGGUGGAAUUCCCGGUGUAGUGGUGAAAUGCGUAGAGAUCGGGAGGAACACCAGCGGCGAAGGCGGCCCCCUGGGCCGCUCCUGACGCUGAGACGCGAAAGCGUGGGGAGCGAUCCGG